GAAGUCAUAGCCUCCCAGAAUUAGUUCAGGUCCAAACUUUGCACCUAACCCCUGUGACCCAGGCAGGACUCUGUAUCUCUCUCAGUCUCACUCAUCAGUGCCUCCACCAAGCUGCUUUUCUCCGCAUUUGCAUUUGGUAGAACAGAUAAUCAGGCAAAUACAAUAAAGCGAUAACACUUAUGAAAGGCAUAAUAGGUUGCUAUGGAAACAAAUAGACGGGGCAGGAAGUUCAAGGAAGUCAUUCUUUUCCCUUUGCAAAAAAAGAUAAUAUUCAGUCUUCCUUUUUUUUUUUCCACAGGCCUCAUGAGGAAAAUCAAAUAAGAUUAUCUUACAUUACAAAAUUUUCUUGCAUACUUUAUGCAACAGUGGAAACAACACAGGAUUGGAAUUAGAAGACCUGGUUUUAAAUACCAAAUUGUUCCCCAGAAUGAUCUGAUCCUACUGCUUAGCCUAUCUGGAUGUCAGUUUCUACAUCUCUAAAAGGAAGACACACAGAGGAGAAUGCUAUCUGAAGAUGGAGGCAGAGAUUGAAGUGAUGCAUCUACAGGGAUUGCUGGCCGCCACCACAAGCUAGAAGAAGCAAGGGAGGAUUAUUCCCUAGAGCCUUUGGAUGGAGCAAGUAGAAUCCAAGAAGACUCUAAAACCUCCAGUACUCAUGAAGAGAUGAGUUUGCUCAUUAUCAAUCUCAUUGAUCCUUAGCAUCGGAGCUGAGAGGGAGCCAGGAUGUUCAUCACACUGUGUAAAUGGCCUCUGUGAAGAACUUCCUGGGGUAUGGUCCAGCUUCCUGGAAUGGUACUUUCCUCAAAAAUGUGUCUGAUUCUGUUUUCUGGGGCAUACAGCUGGAAAGCAGGCCUUGAUGGGAGAUGAACCUGGGUGGUCAGUUUGGCUGGAGAAUCAGUACUCUUAACCUAGGGUUAGAGAACCUAGUAAGCUAGAGCUGUGAAAGUGAAAUAUCCCUUAGAUACAGUUUCACAUACCAUGUGUGUUAAGAAAAUAUAUCCUGUUAAGGAACUAAAAUAGUGAACCACAGAGGAGGUUAUUUCAAAAUGGAAGGAAGAACCCCUGAAGCAGUAUUGCCACUUAGUCUAAAAGUGUAAAUUGUCAUCUUGAAGCAAGUGGUUCCUGAAUUAUUAUUUCUAUAAACCUACAGAAUGAAAUGGGUAUAUCCAUUGUCAGAGGAGUGAGGGAAAGGACCCCCAUGUCAGAAAGGGCUCAUCUGGACUGGGCACGGUGGCUCACGCCUGUAAUCCCAGCACUUUGGGAGGCCAAGGCGGGCAGAUCACAAGGUCACGAGGUCAGGAGAUUGAGACCAUCCUGGCUAACACGGUGAAACCCCGUCUCUACUAAAAAUACAAAAAAAAAAAAAAAAAAAGCCAGGCGUGGUGGCAGGCGCUUGUACUGCCAGCUACUCGGGAGGCUGAGGCAGAGAAUUGCUUGAACCUGGGAGGCGGAGGUUGCAGUUGAGCUGAGAUCAUGCCACUGCACUCCAGCCUGGGCAACAGAGUGAGACUCCAUCUCAAAAAAAAAAAAAAAAACAAAGGGCUCAUCUGGACCUAAAUCAAGACUGUAACCUAAAUUCUCUGCAACUUGAAGGGAGCAGAUAUAUGACAGGGAUAACAGUUUAAAUUUUGAAAGGAAGUCUCAAUAGUUACAAGUUCCUUACUUGCUGCCCUCUAUUUUCCCAUAGGAAAAUUCUUCAAAUCAAAGGCAGAGGGUAAGGAAGAAAAUGAGAACUGAAACUGCUCCAAUCCCAGCUAGGAGAGAGGAAGAACUGUAAAGAAACCCCCCAAAUUACAUUGUAGAAUUAUUUUUCCCUAUGGUAUUAGGUUGAUCCCCCUUUCCUGGCCACCAGCAGCCCCUUUCCACACUUCUAGGAGCACCAGGAUCAAUUACCAUUCAUUGUUAUUUCAUGUGCAUAGACAACAGAACUUGCUGCUGUCAUAAAAGUAAAGGAACAGAUUUCUUAAAUUGCUACUUGAAGGAGCUCUUCUAUAUCAGUGCCAUUAAAUUAAAUUUCUGCUCUGUAUAAUGCAUAAAAAUGGCUUGUGAAUUUUUUUUCCUUGGGUGACUCAUUUUGUUUGAACUCCAAAGCAAUUCCUCAGAAACGGAAAGAGGCUAUUUAAAAAUGAGCUGUGAGAUUGUCAUUAAAAAUCAUUUUUUUUAAAGCAAAGGAGGUCUCUCCUAGCACCAAAUGAUAAAAUACAAAUUUGAGAAUCCUGAACUCAGUUCUCAAAGGUAUCACCUUUGAAAAGGAAGUUUAAAAAAUAUUAAGUAACCUUUUAAAAAGUAAUUUUAAGGAAGUGAAGAAAUAAGAAUAAAAUCUUAAUUUUUAAGUGAAAAACUUUACUUUUUCUUAAGAGAAGAGUUUCUUGGUACCUCUUUCUGUCUUUUGUUUUUGUUUUUGUUU
rnacentral:lncRNA from 1 species